GUAGGGAAUAUUGCAAAAUGGGCGAAAGCCCGAUGCAGCAACGCCGCGUGGGCGAUGAAGGCCUUCGGGUCGUAAAGCCCUUUUUGAGGGGAUGAGGAAGGACAGUACCCUCAGAAUAAGCCUCGGCUAACUACGUGCCAGCAGCCGCGGUAAAACGUAGGAGGCGAGCGUUAUCCGGAUUUACUGGGCGUAAAGCGCGUGCAGGCGGAUUGGAGAGUUGGAUGUGAAAGCUCCCGGCUUAACUGGGAGAGGUCGUUCAAUACUUCCAGUCUUGAGUGCAGUAGAGGGAAGUGGAAUUCCGGGUGUAGUGGUGAAAUGCGUAGAUAUCCGGAGGAACACCAGUGGCGAAAGCGGCUUCCUGGACUGUAACUGACGCUCAGACGCGAAAGCUAGGGUAGCAAACG
rnacentral:rRNA from 1 species